AAUGGGCGAAAGCCUGAUGCAGCGACGCCGCGUGAGUGAAGAAGUAUUUCGGUAUGUAAAGCUCUAUCAGCAGGGAAGAAAAUGACGGUACCUGACUAAGAAGCCCCGGCUAACUACGUGCCAGCAGCCGCGGUAAUACGUAGGGGGCAAGCGUUAUCCGGAUUUACUGGGUGUAAAGGGAGCGUAGACGGUAAAGCAAGUCUGAAGUGAAAGCCCGCGGCUCAACUGCGGGACUGCUUUGGAAACUGUUUAACUGGAGUGUCGGAGAGGUAAGUGGAAUUCCUAGUGUAGCGGUGAAAUGCGUAGAUAUUAGGAGGAACACCAGUGGCGAAGGCGACUUACUGGACGAUAACUGACGUUGAGGCUCGAAAGCGUGGGGAGCAAA
rnacentral:rRNA from 1 species